rnacentral:lncRNA from 13 species
AUGCUGCCGGGCGGAAGGGCAGAAAACCCCCGAAGCCACAGAAUUUCUGAAGCAGGGUCGUGGCAGCCCCCCUUUCCCCCUCCAUACCCUCUCGCAGCGACGCUGCUGCGCUGCACACCCGCCCCGGGGGAGAGAGACGGGGGCGGGGAGGCCCCUCCAGCGGGCACCGGGUCAGCCCGGGUGACCGAGCGGCAGGAGCCACUGCGGCACAGGGCGCACGCUGCGCUUUCGCUGCCUCAGCACUCGCCUCUCCGGCUGCCGCCUCCCCCGCCCGCCCCUGCAGAUCCCGUGCCCCAGGCUCGGAGCGAGGCAGGCCGGACUGGGGUCCGCCGUGCGUUCCUCCCCAGAAGACCCCAAGUCCCGGGCGCGUGGGUCCCAGGCCCGGUUCCAUUUCUCUCCACAAUUCCGACAAUGCUGCUGACCGCCCGGUCGCAGUUACCCGAGCCCCGCGGGGGAAUUCCCCACACGCGCAGGCUGAGGCAUCCCCAGGACCCCUCCCAGGAGACCCAGGCCCGGGCUCCGGCUAGCGCAGCCAUUUCCGCCGGCCUCUCCCCCUCUCCCUCCCCCUUCCCCAGCUCCUGGGCUUUAAAAGCCAGAGGCUGGGCCGGGCCGCAGGCAGAGGCAGCUGCGGGCUCAGGAGGCCGGCCCCUGGAGCUGUCCGAGAGCCGAGCCCCGCCCCCGGAGCCCCUGUCCCACCCUCGGCCCGCCCUCCCUGCGCACCCCUCCCCCCAGGACCCCCGCCCCCCGCCCGCCGCCGCCGCCGCCGCCGCCGCCGCCGCCGCUUGCUCCGGCUGCAGAACAAUAAAGCAAGCCUCCCAGAGACCCCCGCCGAGGACCCCUGCCCGGCGGCCAAGCCCCCGCGGACCGCCCCUCCCCGCGAGGCCGGUAGAGCGCGGCCGGGCGCUGGCCGCGGUGCUGCCCAGGCCGGCGCUGGCCGCGGUGCUGAAGCUGCCAGGGCUGCUAUCGCCGCCGCCGCCGCGUUUUCCGAGCCCGGCGCCGCCGCCCCCGGGGGCAUGGGGGGCCGCUGACUGA